UAAAGCUGGGGAAUGGCGACUUUGUCAGGUAUGUGUAAGCACCCUUCCUUCUUGUUCAUCCCAGAAGCCCAGGUUUAUGUCACUGCUGGCAGAGAAGCCCAAAGGAGCACGUAUUUUGGGAUGCCCCUCUUUUCUUCCUCUUUUCAAGGUUCUAUUCUACCUUACCUCUCCCAAUGCUCAGUUUUCUUCCAGCCAGCUCUCUGGAAGCUUUGCUGGGGGUAACAGCAGCAGGCUAACUCCUGAGGGGUGCCCGCCUUGCUGGGAAUGGCACGGCUUUCUAGUAACGCUGCUUCACAAGGAGACCGAGAGAGAAGCACACAGAUACACAAGACGCCCACAUCAGGAACAUCCCUGGUGACACAGUCUAGCCAUGUUCCUGGUAGACCUUCUCUUGAUGGCCUUUCCCUCAGGCACACAUCUGGUGAGCUUUGUGUAAGGAACAGGCUGCACCUAGCCAUGACCCUCUUUCUGUCAUCUUGGAUCCAGGGGUCAAAACGCGUUUCCUUCUUAGAGCCUGGUAACUUGACUUCCAUUCUCUACACUCAUCUUUGUGAGGCAGCAUUGGGGCAGCCCCAGCUUCUCAGGCUGACCCAAGGAAGACACAAGAAAAGCCACACCUGCAAGAAGGGCAAGUGGCCUGUAAGGACCCUGAGCCCUGGAAGAAACGAUGGGUGUCAGGGCAGACUGUGAUCAAUGUGGGUGUGGAAAUUCGGGGAUCCUUUUUCUCUUCUCUCCCCUCCCAUGACACAUGUGUUGAGCCAUUUGAUUCGUAUCCUUGUAAAUUACAUUCGUGGGUCUGGGACCGUAGCUCAGUGGCAGGUGCUUACACAACUCCUUGCCUUCAAUCUCCAGCGCAGCAAACAAAGGGAAGUUAUCGUUGCAUUUCAUUGUGGGUAAUUUCUGCUUCUCUGUCUUCGAGGUCACUAACAACUGGAGGCCUGCUGUGGAUCCAGCCCCGCUCAACCUGCCGGGUGCUCUCCCACUGCACUGAGCCAGAUCCUCAGAGGCCUCGCUUCCAGGGCAGAGUUGUACUCCACUGGCACGCAGACUGACUCCACGAUGUGGCUGUUCAGUGCUCAGUCAGCACAGAGGGCUGCCAUCUCUCCAGGACACCAAUCUCUGGCCUUCUGGGAGGAACCAGUGCACACAGGAUCCUUCUGUUUUCGAUGUACCCAUGCUGUCGAUGAAGCAAAGCAACCUUUUGCUCUCAUGCCAGGGUCUCUGUGGAGCUGUAGUGAUGAUAGAUUGCAUGGUCCUUAGAGCAUCUCCUGGUAAGGGUGAGGCUGAAUAUCUCAUAUGGUUGGACUCACCCCUUGGAAUAGUCCAUUGUCUCAUUCAAUAAAAAGGACCUGGCACGUGAA
rnacentral:sRNA from 1 species